rnacentral:misc_RNA from 1 species
AAAGAUCGAUAUAUCACCGCACAAGUUUAAUUUAUUAAAACUUUUGAUUUGGUCACUACUUUAAUCUCAAGUUAAUCCCAUGGUUUUGCGCGGCCUGAAGGUAUGCUGCUGAGUCGUCAUAACUCAAAUGGUAAUGCACCUUUACCUGAUGGUGGUGGCGAUGAGAGUGGCAGUUGUACUGACGUGGACAACAGUUGCGGUGGUGGUAUUGGUGGUGGUGGAGUUGGGCGUUUGCGUUUUUUCUUCUUCUCGUAACUAACUCCCCUCGCUUUGGACUGCAAAUCACGA